rnacentral:rRNA from 1 species
GACGAACGCUGGCGGCGUGCUUAACACAUGCAAGUCGAACGGAAAGGCCCUGCUUGCAGGGUACUCGAGUGGCGAACGGGUGAGUAACACGUGGGUGAUCUGCCCUGCACUUCGGGAUAAGCCUGGGAAACUGGGUCUAAUACCGGAUAGGAGCCAUUUUUAGUGUGAUGGUUGGAAAGUUUUUUCGGUGUAGGAUGAGCUCGCGGCCUAUCAGCUUGUUGGUGGGGUAAUGGCCUACCAAGGCGGCGACGGGUAGCCGGCCUGAGAGGGUGGACGGCCACAUUGGGACUGAGAUACGGCCCAGACUCCUACGGGAGGCAGCAGGGGGGAAUAUUGCACAAUGGGCGCAAGCCUGAUGCAGCGACGCCGCGUGGGGGAUGACGGCCUUCGGGUUGUAAACUCCUUUCGCUAGGGGCGAAGCUUUUUGUGACGGUACCUAGAUAAGAAGCACCGGCUAACUACGUG